AAGGAGUCUAACAUCUAUGCGAGUGUUUGGGUGUCAACCCCGGAACGCGGAAUGAAAGUGAACGGAGGUAGGAAGCUUCGGCUGCACUAUCGACCGAUCCUGAUGUCUUCGGAUGGAUUUGAGUAAGAGCAUAGCUGUUGGGACCCGAAAGAUGGUGAACUAUGCCUGAAUAGGGUGAAGCCAGAGGAAACUCUGGUGGAGGCUCGCAGCGGUUCUGACGUGCAAAUCGAUCGCCAAAUUUGGGUAUAGGGGCGAAAGACUAAUCGAACCAUCUAGUAGCUGGUUCCUGC
rnacentral:misc_RNA from 1 species